AGCAGAAGAAGCUGUGAGUCUGUUCAGCAGGAGGAAGAGGAGCUGAGAGCUUCAGGGAGGAGCUGAGCUGUUACUGAACUAUAGAAGAGACACAAACUUCCACAUUCAACACAGUUCAAACAUUAACUCUGAUCAUCAUGCUGUCGUUGCUCACAUCUGGAUUUACUCUGCUGGUUCUGCUUAUAGGAACAGGUGUAAACUGUCAGCAACUCACUGCAGCAAAGACGGAAGAGUUCACUUUAGAGGGCGGCUCUGUUACUCUGUCCUGCAGUUACACCAAAGGUUCUGUAGAUGUUUUGUUCUGGUAUCGACAAUAUCCUGGAAACCCUCCAGAGUUCCUGAAGUCUCAUUCACCAUUUGGUGAUGCAGAAUAUCUGGGCAGACUGAAAUUUGAAGGAAACAAGGAAGAAAUGAAUAUGACCAUCUCCUCUGCUGCAAUGGCAGACUCUGCUGUGUACUACUGUGCUGUGAGGCCCACAGUGACAGGAAACACCAGAACUCUGUACAAGAACUUGAAAUACUUAACUAAAUCCACAAGAGGGCAGUGAAAAGCCUUAUGCCUCUACCAAUGGCUGAGACUUAGUAUGAUUGUUUAUGUAAAUAUGAUGUUGAAACAUUAAGGUUGUUGUUCAGUCCUUCAUUGAACUCUUUCAGACAAAAAUUGACCGUAAUAAUUCAAACAAGGGUGUUUAUUUAGUGUAUUAAUACAAAACAGCUGUGGAAGCUGUUUAUAAAGAUAUGCGAUUGUUUGUAAUGGUCUAAUAGAAUAUGGAAAUAUUUAAACAGGAAAUGUUUAAGAAGGCUGAUGAGAGUAAAACAUCCCAGAUGAACAUCCUGAUUAGAACAACAAUAGACAAAAUAAAGAGCUAAAUACCUGA